AUUGAACGCUGGCGGCAUGCCUUACACAUGCAAGUCGAACGGCAGCACGGGUGCUUGCACCUGGUGGCGAGUGGCGAACGGGUGAGUAAUACAUCGGAACAUGUCCUGUAGUGGGGGAUAGCCCGGCGAAAGCCGGAUUAAUACCGCAUACGAUCUACGGAUGAAAGCGGGGGACCUUCGGGCCUCGCGCUAUAGGGUUGGCCGAUGGCUGAUUAGCUCGUUGGUGGGGUAAAGGCCUACCAAGGCGACGACCAGUAGCUGGUCUGAGAGGACGACCAGCCAAACUGGAACUGGAACACGGCCCAGACCCCUACGGGAGGCAGCAGUGGGGAAUUUUUGACAAUGGGCGAAAGCCUGAUCCAGCAAUGCCGCGUGUGUGAAGAAGGCCUUCGGGUUGUAAAGCACUUUUGUCCGGAAAGAAAUCCUUGGCCCUAAUACGGUCGGGGGAUGACGGUACCGGAAGAAUAAGCACCGGCUAACUACGU
rnacentral:rRNA from 1 species